CAGUAGCCGCGGUAAUACGUAGGGUGCGAGCGUUAAUCGGAAUUACUGGGCUUAAAGCGUGCGCAGGCGGCUUUGUAAGACAGGCGUGAAAUCCCCGGGCUCAACCUGGGAAUGGCGCUUGUGACUGCAAAGCUAGAGUGCGGCAGAGGGGGAUGGAAUUCCGCGUGUAGCAGUGAAAUGCGUAGAUAUGCGGAGGAACACCGACGGCGAAGGCAAUCCCCUGGGCCUGCACUGACGCUCAUGCACGAAAGCGUGGGGAGCAAACAGGAUUAGAUACCCCCGUAGUCCCUGUCUCUUAUAC
rnacentral:rRNA from 1 species